UCAAAUGAGGAAAAGCUUACGGUGGAUACCAAGGCACCCAGAGACGAGGAAGGGCGUAGUAAGUGACGAAAUGCUUCAUGGAGUUGAAAAUAAGCGUAGAUCCGAAGAUUCUUGAAUUGGUCAACCUUUCAAACUGCUACCGAAUCCAUGGGCAGGCAAGAGACAACCUGGCAAACUAAAACAUCUUAGUAACUAGAGGAAAAGAAAGCACAAGUGAUUCCCAUAGUAGCGGCGAGCGAAAUGGGAGCAGCCUAAACCGUGAAAAUGGGGUUGUGGGAGAGCAAUACAAGCUUCGCGCUGCUAGGCGAAAGAGUGGAGUGUUGUACUCUAGAUGGUGAAAGUUCGGUAGCCGAAACCAUCACUAGCUUACGCUCUGAUCCGAGUAGCAUGGGGCACAUGGAAUCUCAUGUGAAUCAGCAAGGACCACCUUGUAAGGCUAAAUACUCUUGGGUGACUGAUAACGAAGUAGUACCGUGAGGGAAAGGUGAAAAGAACCCCCAUCGGGGAGUGAAAUAGAAUAUGAAACUGUAAGCUCCCAAGCAGUGGGAGGAGCUCAAGGCUCUAACCGCAUACCUGUUAAAGAAUGAGUCGGCGACUUAUAGGUAGUGGCUUGGUUAAGGGAACCCAUUAGAGUCGUAGCGAAAGUGAGUCUUCAUAGGGCAAUUGUCAAUGCUUAUGGACCCAAACCUGGGUGAUCUAUUCAUGACCAGGAUGAAACUUGGGUGAAACUAAGUGGAGGUCCGAACCGACUGAUGUUGAAGAAUCAAUGGAUGAGUUGUGGUUAGGGGUGAAAUGCCACUCGAACCCAGAGCUACUGGUUCUCCCCGAAAUACGUUGAGGUGCAACAGUUGACUAGAAAUCUAGGGGUAAAGCACUAUUUUGCUGCCGGUCGCGAGAGCGGUACCAAAUCGAGGUAAACUUUGAAUACUAGAUAUGACCUCAAAAUAAUAUAGGCCAAGGUCGGCUAGUGAGACGAUGAGGGAUAAGCUUCAUCGUCGAGAGGGAAACAACCCGGAUCAGCAGCUAAGGCCCCUAAAUGACCGCUCAGUGAUAAAGGAGGUAAGGGUGCAGAGAUAGCCAGGAGGUUUGCCUAGAAGCAGCCACCCUUGAAAGAGUGCGUAAUAGCUCACUGAUCGAGCACUCUUGCGUCGAAGAUGAAUGGGACUAAGCGAUUUGCCGAAGUUGUGAGAUGUAAAAAUGCAUCGAUAGCAGACCGUUUCGCCUUAGAUGAAAGCACCAGGGCGAGCGGCGAUAAACAAAGCGGAAGUGAGAAUGUCGGCUUGAGUGACACAAACAUUGGAGAGAAUCUAAUGCCCCGAAAACCUAAGGGUUCCUCCACAAGGUUCAUCCACGGAGGGUGAGUCAGAGCCUAAGAUCAGGCCGAAAAGCGUAUUCGAUGGACAACAAGUGAAUAUUCCUAUACUACCCCUUGUUGGUCCCGAGGGACGGAGGAGGCUAGGUUAGCUGAAAGAUCGUUAUCGGUUCAAGGAUGCACGGUAUCCUUAUUUUUUUAGGGUAAGAAGGGGUAGAGAAAAUGCCUCGAGCCAAUGUUCGAGUACCAGACGCUACGGCGCUAAAGUAACCCAUGCCAUACUCCCAGGAAAAGCUCGAACGACCUUCAACAAAAGGGUACUUGUACCCAAAACCGACACAGGUAGGUAGGUAGAGAAUACCUAGGGGUGCGAGAUAACUCUCUCUAAGGAACUCGGAAAAUAGCUACGUAACUUCGGGAGAAGGGGUCGUAGUGACCAGGCCCGGACGACUGUUUACCAAAAACACAAGUCUUGACAAAGUCAAAAGACCAUGUAUAAGGGCUGACGCCUACCUAGUGCAGGAAGGUCAAGGAAGUUUGUGAUCGGAUGACAGGGGAGCUGACGACCGAAGCCCAGUGAACAGCAGUCGUAACUAUAAUGGUCCUAAGGUAGCGAAAUUCCUUAUCGGGUAAGUUUCGACCCGCACGAAAGGCGUAACAAUCUGGGCAUUGUCUCGGAGAGAGGCUCGGUGAAAUAGACAUGUCUGUGAAGAUGCGGACUACCUGCACCUGGACAGAAAGACCCUAUGAAGCUUCACUAUUCCCUAGGAUUGGAUUUGGGCCCUUCAUGUGCAGCUUAGGUGGAAGGCGAAGAAGGCCCCUUUCCGGGAGGGUCUGAGCCAUCAGUGAGAUACCACUCUAGAAGAGCUAGAAUUCUAACCUUGUGUCAGGACCUCCGGGCCAAGGGACAGCCUUAGGUAGACCGUUUCUAUGGGGCAUAGGCCCCCUAAAAGGUAACGGAGGCAUGCAAAGGUUUCCUCGGGCCGGACGAAGAUUGGCCGUCGAGUGCAAAGGCAGAAGGGAGCUUGACUACAAGACCCACCUAUCUAGUAGGGACGAAAGUCAGCCUUAGUGAUCCAACGGUGCCGAGUGGAAGGGUCGUCGCUCAACAGAUAAAAGUUACUCUAGGGAUAAUAGGCAGAUCUUCCCCAAGAGCUCACAUCGAUAGGAAGGUUUGGCACCUCGAUGUUGGCUUUUCGCCACCUAGGGCUGUAGUUUGUUCCAAAGGUUGGGUUGUUCGCCCAUUGAAGCGGUACGUGAGCUAGGUUCAGAACGUCAUGAGACAGUUUGGCCAUAUCCAGUGUGGGCGUUAGAGCAUUGAGAGGACCUUUCCCUAGUACGAAAGGACUAGGAAGGACGCACCUCUAGUGUACUAGUUAUCAUGCCCACGGUAAACGCUGGGUAGUCAAGUGCGGAGUGGAUAACUGCUGAAAGCAUCUAAGUAGUAUGCCCACCUGAAGAUGAGUGCUCUCCUAUUCCGACUUCCCUAGAGCCUUCGAUAGCACAGCCGAGAUAGCGACGUGUUCUCUUCCCUUACGAGGAUGGAGUGACAAAAGUUUUGAGAAUUCAAGAGAAUGUCACGGCGAGACGAGCCGUUUAUCAUUACGAUAGGUAUCAAGUGGAAGUACAGUAUGCAGCUGAGGCAUCUUAACAGACUGGUAGACUUUAACCU
rnacentral:rRNA from 1 species